rnacentral:rRNA from 1 species
ACGCUCGACACCUACGGAAGGCAGCAGUGGGGAAUAUUGCACAAUGGGGGAAACCCUGAUGCAGCGACGCCGCGUGGAGGAAGAAGGUCUUCGGAUUGUAAACUCCUGUUGUUGGGGAAAAAGAGGAUGGUACCCAACAAGGAAGUGACGGCUAACUACGUGCCNGCGGCCGCGGUAAUCUGAGCGGGCUGGCAAGGC